GACGAACGCUGGCGGCGUGCUUAACACAUGCAAGUCGAACGGAAAGGCCCUGCUUUUGUGGGGUGCUCGAGUGGCGAACGGGUGAGUAACACGUGAGUAACCUGCCCUUGACUUUGGGAUAACUUCAGGAAACUGGGGCUAAUACCGGAUAGGAGCUCCUGCUGCAUGGUGGGGGUUGGAAAGUUUCGGCGGUUGGGGAUGGACUCGCGGCUUAUCAGCUUGUUGGUGGGGUAGUGGCUUACCAAGGCUUUGACGGGUAGCCGGCCUGAGAGGGUGACCGGCCCCAGGGGGCUGGAGGAACGGCCCAUACGCAUUCGGGGGGAAGGGGGGGGAAAUUUUGCCAAAUGGGCGGAGGCCUGGUGGAGCAACGCCGGGUGGGGGAGGCCGCCUUUCGGGUUGGAAAACCCUUUCGCUUUUAACCAGCUGUUGGUGCGGGAAAUGGGUAAAAAGCCCCGGGUAAAUUCGUU
rnacentral:rRNA from 1 species